GACGGAGGAUGCAAGCGUUAUCCGGAAUGAUUGGGCGUAAAGCGUCCGCAGGUGGCAGUUCAAGUCUGCUGUCAAAGACCGGGGCUUAACUUCGGAAAGGCAGUGGAAACUGAACAGCUAGAGUAUGGUAGGGGCAGAGGGAAUUCCUGGUGUAGCGGUGAAAUGCGUAGAGAUCAGCAGGAAUACCCGUGGCGAAGGCGGCCCCCUGGGCCGAACCUGACGCUGAGGCGCGAAGGCUAGGGGAGCGAACGGG
rnacentral:rRNA from 1 species